UUGCUGCUGCACAUUGUUAGCCAUCUUUAUAUUGGAUGCUAGGAACAUGGAUUGUUUGCCAUCUUUAUAUUGGAUGCUAGGAACUUGGAUGGGAUGGCCUGGACAGCAAUAUCAGCUUUUUCCAUGGGAUCUUUUCUGAACAAGUCUAGGAAGGAAGCUACAAAAAAGGCCCAAGAAGAGGCUUCUGAGCAUGUGAGAUGUCUAGAAGAAGAUUUGGGAAAGUUGAGUACAAGUUUUUUGUUGAUGGAGAAUGGCGGCAUGAUGAGCACCAACCAUUUGUAAGUGGAAAUUAUGGGGUGGUGAACAGUGUCUUCUUAGCUAGGGAGCCUGAUGGGUAGAUCUAGUAUGGAUGUGGAUAAUGAUCCAUUUUUUCAUUUUUUGGAAGCAAAUUAUCUUACAAAAGCUUUUGUAAUACAAGUUGGUCUAGUUGAUAA